rnacentral:rRNA from 1 species
UACGUAGGUGGCAAGCGUUGUCCGGAAUUAUUGGGCGUAAAGCGCGCGCAGGCGGCCUUUUAAGUCUGAUGUGAAAGCCCACGGCUCAACCGUGGAAGGUCAUUGGAAACUGAAAGGCUUGAGUACAGAAGGGGAAAGCGGAAUUCCACGUGUAGCGGUGAAAUGCGUAGAGAUGUGGAGGAACACCAGUGGCGAAGGCGGCUUUCUGGUCUGUAACUGACGCUGAGGCGCGAAAGCGUGGGGAGCAAACAGG